AACAAGUGUAUUUGGGUUAGGCUUCGUGGUGUCCCUCCAUUUCCACCCUCCUUUGCAGUUAUAUUUGAUCUUGUUCUUUGGGAUUGAUGCACCUCUAUGAUGCACAUGUUUCGGAUAAUGAUUGCCAAAACCAACGACAUAACUCAUCUUCCGCGGGUUUUUACCAAGGAUAUAAUCAAUCUGGGUCUUGGCAAAGUCACGCAAAACAUCAGUUGAAUAGAAAUUGGGUCCACAGUACCAUCCAG
rnacentral:misc_RNA from 1 species